AGUUUGAUCCUGGCUCAGGAUGAACGCUUGCGGCGUGCCUAACACAUGCAAGUCGAACGAUGAAACCGCCCCCGGGCGGACAUGAAGUGGCGAACGGGUGAGUAACACGUGACCGACCUGCCCCCCGCCCAGGGACAGCCCCCCGAAAGGGGGAUUAAUACCUGGUACUCCGGAAGCGGCGCAUGCCGCCCCCGGGAAAGCUCUGGCGGCGGGGGAUGGGGUCGCGGCCCAUCAGGUAGACGGCGGGGCAGAGGCCCACCGUGCCGACGACGGGUAGCCGGGUUGAGAGACCGACCGGCCACAUUGGGACUGAGAUACGGCCCAGACUCCUACGGGAGGCAGCAGUGGGGAAUUUUGCGCAAUGGGGGCAACCCUGACGCAGCAACGCCGCGUGAAGGAAGAAGUAUCUCGGUAUGUAAACUUCUAUCAGCAGGGAAGAGUCAAGACUGUACCUGCAGAAGAAGCCCCGGCUAACUACGUGCCAGCAGCCGCGGUAAUACGUAGGGGGCGAGCGUUAUCCGGAUUCAUUGGGCGUAAAGCGCGCGUAGGCGGCCCGGCAGGCCGGGGGUCGAAGCGGGGGGCUCAACCCCCCGAAGCCCCCGGAACCUCCGCGGCUUGGGUCCGGUAGGGGAGGGUGGAACACCCGGUGUAGCGGUGGAAUGCGCAGAUAUCGGGUGGAACACCGGUGGCGAAGGCGGCCCUCUGGGCCGAGACCGACGCUGAGGCGCGAAAGCUGGGGGAGCGAACAGGAUUAGAUACCCUGGUAGUCCCAGCCGUAAACGAUGGACACUAGGUGUGGGGGGGACGAUCCCCCCCGUUACGGAGGCCAAACCAUUAAGGGUCCGCGCCGGGGGAGUACCGGCCGCAAGGCUAAAACUAAAAGGAAUGGACGGGGGCCCGCACAAGCAGCGGAGCAUGUGGCUUAAUUUGAAGCAACGGGAAGAACCUUACCAGGGCUUGACAUAUGGGUGAAGCGGGGGAGACCCCGUGGCCGAGAGGAGCCCAUACAGAGUGGUGCAUGGCUGUCGUCAGCUCGUGUCGUGAGAUGUUGAGUUAAGUCCCGCAACGAGCGCAACCCCCGCCGCGUGUUGCCAUCGGGUGAUGCCGGGAACCCACGCGGGACCGCCGCCGUCAAGGCGGAGGAGGGCGGGGACGACGUCAAGUCAUCAUGCCCCUUAUGCCCUGGGCUGCACACGUGCUACAAUGGCCGGUACAGAGGGAUGCCACCCCGCGAGGGGGAGCGGAUCCCGGAAAGCCGGCCCCAGUUCGGAUUGGGGGCUGCAACCCACCCCCAUGAAGUCGGAGUUGCUAGUAAUCGCGGAUCAGCAUGCCGCGGUGAAUGCGUUCCCGGGCCUUGCACACACAGCCCGUCA
rnacentral:rRNA from 1 species